GAGGAACCUGCCUUUCAGAGGGGGACAACAGUUGGAAACGACUGCUAAUACCGCAUAACGCAUAGGUAUCGCAUGGUACAGAUGCCAAAGAUUUAUCGCUGAGAGAUGGCCUCGCGUCUGAUUAGCUAGUUGGUAGGGUAACGGCCUACCAAGGCGACGAUCAGUAGCCGGACUGAGAGGUUGGCCGGCCACAUUGGGACUGAGAUACGGCCCAGACUCCUACGGGAGGCAGCAGUGGGGAAUAUUGGGCAAUGGGCGCAAGCCUGACCCAGCAACGCCGCGUGAAGGAAGAAGGCUUUCGGGUUGUAAACUUCUUUUGUCAGGGAAGAGCAGAAGACGGUACCUGACGAAUAAGCCACGGCUAACUACGUG
rnacentral:rRNA from 1 species